rnacentral:rRNA from 1 species
UACGUAGGGUGCGAGCGUUAAUCGGAAUUACUGGGCGUAAAGCGUGCGCAGGCGGUGAUGUAAGACCGAUGUGAAAUCCCCGGGCUUAACCUGGGAACUGCAUUGGUGACUGCAUUGCUGGAGUAUGGCAGAGGGGGGUGGAAUUCCACGUGUAGCAGUGAAAUGCGUAGAGAUGUGGAGGAACACCGAUGGCGAAGGCAGCCCCCUGGGCCAACACUGACGCUCAGGCACGAAAGCGUGGGGAGCAAACAGG